rnacentral:lncRNA from 1 species
UUUUCGAUGAUGAGAAAUCAUUUUGUUUCAGUUUCUCAGCGACCAAACAGGGUCGGUCGGUCUAAGUGGAAGCAAUGCAAUCUCUGUACGGAAGUUUAAUUUGAAGACUAAACCUAAACACGUCUCAUUUCAAAUCCACUUUAGCUUAUUUACCUUUAAAAUUCAUGGAUUAAGCCUUUUCAACUAUGAUUCUUCAUACACUACCUUUUCGCUCAUUUCAUCACUUGGCUGUAUCUUCCUCCUCCUUUUCCAUUCAAUUUUCGUGUUUAUUCUUUUUUUUUAAUUAAUUUCUUCUUAAUUGGUUGUGGCAGCCAAAAUAUGGUGAAAUUGAGUGGGGUUGGCCGAAUUUGAGUGGUUGAAUUUGUCUGAUCGGGCAGAAAAAGGAGCGAAGAAUUUCCCACAUCGUAGGAAGAGCUUGACAGUAUUGGCAGAAAAUUCUUCGGAAGGUUUGUCAGCGCCUACUGUUGAUGUUCCUUCGCGCAUCAAAUUCAAGAGACUCGAUAAAACUGCCAGGCACAUAAUGCAGCUAUGCAUAUGCAUAUAUAUAUAUAUAUAUAUAUAUAUAUAUAUAUAUAUAUAUUGAUCUGUUUCUGUUUCGCAUGCAGACACGUUAUGUGUUUGAAUAUCAAUGAAGUUAAAUAAAGUUCUAUAUAUUUUCUGAAGAA